UUAGCUCAUAUUUGUAUGGAAUGGGAUCGUUUGCGUACGUUUGUCGCUAGGGGCGCUGUUCCAACGGCAUACAAAAUUGGGUUA
rnacentral:pre_miRNA from 1 species